CUCACUGCAUCGUUGUCUCCCCCUGGCUCAAAUGCAGAACAUCGUUCUCGCUGCUGUGAAAAAAAAAGACAAUCCAUCGUUUAUUUUUCUAGCCUUUUAUUGAAACAUGGAACAUGAAGAUUUCUUUUUAGGGUGUAUUUUGUUCAUAACAGCCAUUGAUUUAUCCCAUACCCCAUACCUGUUGGGGAUGUUUUCCCUGAUUUUGGUCUUUGAUUUUUUUACCAGGGAAGAUGAAUAAGUGCUCUGUGAUUUGAUAUCUUUGGGAAAACAACAACCAGAUUACAGGUUUACAUAAUGGCUACUACAAUGCUUCCCACCUCCGUCUCUGCCGUACAGACUCCGGGAAUCCUAACAGUGAAAGACAUUCAGAAAAAAAAUGGUAUCGGGCCAUGGAUGACCCGAGUUCGCAUUGUUUGGAUGUGGCAUGAAUCGGACUUCAUGAGAACAAAUGAUGUUACCAGCCUUGAUUUGCUCCUGCUGGAUGACACCGGUGACCUGCUACACGCAAUUGUUCAGAAGAAAUUCAUCUGGAAAUUUGAACCCCUGCUAAAAGAGGGGAUGUUGUUGUGUCUUAACAAUUUGACAUUUGCCCCAGAAAAAAAAAAUGUUCCGCCCCGCCCAGAAUGACACUUUAGUUGGAAUACCGAUAUUACUCCACUAGAAACCACCAGUGCGUCGAUUCCUCGCCACAAGUUCAAUUUCACCGAGCUUGAGAACCUGGCAGCUGCUACCACCAACACUUACCUUACUGGUGCCUUCAGUGAAUGUUACAUCUGUUGAUUCCCAGACCGUGGUUAAAUUACCUAAUAUUUCCUGAUUGUUAUUUGCAGAUGUUGUAGGUGUGUUGACAAGCCACACAAACUUGCAGCAUGUUAAGCGAAGUCCUAGCAGCGCGUGUUUCAUGCGUGAACUAAAACUGGAAAACUUAAAUGGUAUGAAGCUUAAUGUCACACUAUGGGGUAAUUCCACUUCUGAGCUUACUAGGAACCUUGAAGCGCAUGAACUUAAUCCACAUCCUGUUGUUGCUGGUGUCUAUGUCAAGCAAUAUCUAGGCAAGGCGUCGCUUUCUUCAACUAAUACGACUAAAAUUUUCUUUGACCUCGAUAUUCUAGAGGUCUUGCAUAUUAGAGAAAGGUAUUCCCGCUGAACAUCGCCGCUCGAAAUCACAAUCCCGGCGAGAGUUGGUUACAAUCAGGCAGUCAAUCCAUUGGCGACACUAGAAUGUCAAUUUCCCAAUUACUGGAAACAAAGUGGGAAUCUGGGUACAAUAUACUAAACAGAAAAGUCUGUCGUGCCAAGGCUAUUGGUAUUUCCACUGAGAAAGGUUGGUAUUUUCUGGGGUGCCACAACUGCACAACUAAAUUGGUUGGGAACAAAGGGGACCAUUGGUGCCCUAGCUACAAGAUACCUUCUUAGUUUGGAAGUUGAGGACUCAUUGGGAACCGCACUUUUUGUUGCCAUGGACAGCAAGGUCCAAAAAAUGGUCUAGCUACCAGCUUUGGAUGUUGUUGCUAAGGGCGAGGUUGAAGGGGCCUAGCCAUUAAUCAAGAAGUGAUGGGAACGACGGAAUCCAUGACUACAGAAGAUUCCAUUGAAAACGAAUCCUAAUGAUUCAUUAGGUGGGAUGGCGGAAAGAACCAGGAACCUAUUAUUUAUUUUUUCUGAGAGGUCAAGGACUGACCCUACGAAUUAAACAGAUAUUGAAAGAGUCAAUAUUCUCCCGCGAAGGCCUUAUUGAAUUGCUAAGUUUUUUGCAACAGUACAGGCCGCCUUUGAAUCACUCAUUGGUGCCUUCCAGGAUUACCUCAUACUGAUAACUCCGUAUAACAUGAAGUAUCUUGAAACCCCAAGCUUCACUGUAGCAAAGUUGCCUUUGCCCCCUCUAGCACCAACUCCAACCAUAUCUGCUUAGGCUACCGAAAUCAUUCAUCCUGAAGAUGAGCCUGUUGUUGAUAAUGAGCCACCUCGCAAGAAACCCUGCCUGCAGAAGAUGCCCAACUCUGCGUCAGCAUCCACUGUCGCUGAAGAUUAAACACCAUCAAGACAUGCAACUUGGUUGGUUUUAGGAUUCUAAAAAUAAAACAUCGCAUAGGAAACAAUCAACACAUAUUUUCAAACUUGAAUAUGGCAGCACAGAUAAACUGCAGCAUGGCAAAAUACGUCAUGUCCUAUCUCAAUAAACAAUCACCAGGAAGAGCACUGACACAAGGAACAACCUUCAAUGAAUCGAACAACAACAGUAGCAUGACUACCAUCCAAAGGGAAUUACCAUGCUAUGCGGGAAUAAAAUGAAAUGCGAAAUGGAGGUAUGAACUAAUAGAUUAAUCUAUUUACCUGUUGGGAAGACCAUAAGUGUUGAGAAACCACAUGUGGUAAUCUCAACUUGAUUAACGAAAAGUUACUGUAUUUAUAUUGUUGCUAUAAUGGUGAUAUAUUUUCUA